rnacentral:rRNA from 1 species
GAUGAACGCUGGCGGCGUGCCUAAUACAUGCAAGUCGAGCGAACGGACGAGAAGCUUGCUUCUCUGAUGUUAGCGGCGGACGGGUGAGUAACACGUGGAUAACCUACCUAUAAGACUGGGAUAACUUCGGGAAACCGGAGCUAAUACCGGAUAAUAUUUUGAACCGCAUGGUUCAAAAGUGAAAGACGGUCUUGCUGUCACUUAUAGAUGGAUCCGCGCUGCAUUAGCUAGUUGGUAAGGUAACGGCUUACCAAGGCAACGAUGCAUAGCCGACCUGAGAGGGUGAUCGGCCACACUGGAACUGAGACACGGUCCAGACUCCUACGGGAGGCAGCAGUAGGGAAUCUUCCGCAAUGGGCGAAAGCCUGACGGAGCAACGCCGCGUGAGUGAUGAAGGUCUUCGGAUCGUAAAACUCUGUUAUUAGGGAAGAACAUAUGUGUAAGUAACUGUGCACAUCUUGACGGUACCUAAUCAGAAAGCCACGGCUAACUACGUGCCAGCAGCCGCGGUAAUACGUAGGUGGCAAGCGUUAUCCGGAAUUAUUGGGCGUAAAGCGCGCGUAGGCGGUUUUUUAAGUCUGAUGUGAAAGCCCACGGCUCAACCGUGGAGGGUCAUUGGAAACUGGAAAACUUGAGUGCAGAAGAGGAAAGUGGAAUUCCAUGUGUAGCGGUGAAAUGCGCAGAGAUAUGGAGGAACACCAGUGGCGAAGGCGACUUUCUGGUCUGUAACUGACGCUGAUGUGCGAAAGCGUGGGGAUCAAACAGGAUUAGAUACCCUGGUAGUCCACGCCGUAAACGAUGAGUGCUAAGUGUUAGGGGGUUUCCGCCCCUUAGUGCUGCAGCUAACGCAUUAAGCACUCCGCCUGGGGAGUACGACCGCAAGGUUGAAACUCAAAGGAAUUGACGGGGACCCGCACAAGCGGUGGAGCAUGUGGUUUAAUUCGAAGCAACGCGAAGAACCUUACCAAAUCUUGACAUCCUUUGACAACUCUAGAGAUAGAGCCUUCCCCUUCGGGGGACAAAGUGACAGGUGGUGCAUGGUUGUCGUCAGCUCGUGUCGUGAGAUGUUGGGUUAAGUCCCGCAACGAGCGCAACCCUUAAGCUUAGUUGCCAUCAUUAAGUUGGGCACUCUAAGUUGACUGCCGGUGACAAACCGGAGGAAGGUGGGGAUGACGUCAAAUCAUCAUGCCCCUUAUGAUUUGGGCUACACACGUGCUACAAUGGACAACACAAAGGGCAGCGAAACCGCGAGGUCAAGCAAAUCCCAUAAAGUUGUUCUCAGUUCGGAUUGUAGUCUGCAACUCGACUACAUGAAGCUGGAAUCGCUAGUAAUCGUAGAUCAGCAUGCUACGGUGAAUACGUUCCCGGGUCU